rnacentral:lncRNA from 1 species
CCCCCACUGCACCCCCGAACAUAAUCCCUGGAUGCUCACACAAUCCGAUUCUGUCAUCAGUCAGCCAGGUAUAACUGCAGGGCUGGAAGGAGCAGGCUGUGAAAAUGCUGGCCAUUAACUCUGCCCAUACCUGUGCCCCUCCCCCAGACCAUCUCUGAUACCAGCCCCAUGAAGCGCUCAGCCUCCGUGCUGGGACCCAAAGCCCGGCGACUGGAUGACUACUCACUAGAGCGGGUACCACCUGAGGAGAACCAAAGGUACCACCAACGCCGCCGGGACCGUGGCCACCGCACCUCUGAGCGCUCUCUGGGCCGAUACACUGAUGUGGACACAGGCCUGGGGACAGAUCUGAGCAUGACCACCCAAUCGGGUGACCUGCCCUCCAAAGAUCGGGACCAGGACCGGGGCCGGCCCAAGGACCGGAAGCAUCGGCCACACCACCACCACCACCAUCAUCACCAUCAUCCCCCGGCCCCGGACCGGGAGCGCUACGCACAGGA